AUCGCUUCUUGGCCUUUUGGCUAAAAUCAAGUGUAGUGUCUGUUCUUACCAGCUUAAUAUCUUAGUAAAAUUUUAAAAAUUAAAAUAACAUAUAAUCCUCACCUCGUUGUCCAGCCUUACCCCACACCACUGUCUAGCAGGGUGAGAACUUAC
rnacentral:snRNA from 1 species